ensembl:processed_transcript 1810053B23Rik RIKEN cDNA 1810053B23 gene
CUCGAGGGAGGACUCUCGCUAGUUCCAGGUCAGGAAGAGACCAGAACAACCCCAGCAUUCUGGGCAUGAACAGAGAGCCAAGGAUCAUCUCCAGACAUCGAAGGGCAUCAUUAUCACGGAUAAGAACACAGAUGCUGGGGCUGGAGAGAUGGCGCAGAGGUUAAGAGCUGGCACUAAUCUUUCAGAGGACUGGAGUUUGGUUCCCAUCCCCAUGUUGGGCAGAUCAUGACGACCUGUGACUACAGCUUCAGAGGGCCUAGAACCUUCUUCUGGAGACCCUGCAUGCUCUGCCUUCAUGUGCUCCUUCCCCUAAGACACAGACGCCUUCCUAACCGUCUCUGGUGACAACAGGACAGGAACAUCACAGCUGUUUAUGUGCUAUGAUUUCCUAUGUGUGCACACAGGAAUAAGACUCUCUUGCCUUGCCUACAAACCACUCUUCACUCUUGGGAUGACCUUGCUCCAGCUGGGAUCAGAAGUUCUAGAGCAUUCUGGAAGACAAAAUGGGUAGCAAGUACAGGAGAGAGCUCCCAACUUCAUCACCACCGGGAAAAUGCAAAAUGCAACCAUGAGAUGCCACCUCUCAAACAUA